GAUCUCCUGUUACUAUCUGGUUAAUUCCCUCCAUAGCUCCAGUCGCCGAGAACGACCAACAUGCCCCUAUAAAUAAUCAUCAUCAACUCAAAUAAUCAACUAUGGAUUCAUCUGAGAACAAAUUUACUAUUUCUGAGACCAAAUUCCUACAUUGCCUACUCUAUGAAACAAUAACUUUCAUAAAAGAUACAAUGAUAAUUGCUUCUAGACUUUCCUAAAAAGUUCAAUCACUAUAUUACUCGCAUACUUUCUCUUAUUAUACUCCUAAAAAGGACAAAAAGAGAUGCAAAAUUAGAUUAGUGUGACAAACUACGUCAUGAUUGGUCUUCUUGUAGCAUACGUACUAAAUAACCACAGAAGAUGAAUCUGCACCAUCAAAGAUUCUAAAGUUUAAGACUUUCUCCGAUCUAAAUCCAAUCUUAAAGUUCUUGAAUCACAUCCUAAGUCGCUGAACUAUAAACUCCAAUCAAAUCUGAAAUUUUGAUGAAGAAGAAAGUUAAA